rnacentral:circRNA from 1 species
GUUCCUUUGGUAUCAUCCACAAGUGAGGGGUACACAGCAUCUCAACCCUUGUACCAGCCUUCUCAUGCUACAGAGCAACGACCACAGAAGGAACCAAUUGAUCAGAUUCAGGCAACAAUCUCUUUAAAUACAGACCAGACUACAGCAUCAUCAUCCCUUCCUGCUGCGUCUCAGCCUCAAGUAUUUCAGGCUGGGACAAGCAAACCUUUACAUAGCAGUGGAAUCAAUGUAAAUGCAGCUCCAUUCCAAUCCAUGCAAACGGUGUUCAAUAUGAAUGCCCCAGUUCCUCCUGUUAAUGAACCAGAAACUUUAAAACAGCAAAAUCAGUACCAGGCCAGUUAUAACCAGAGCUUUUCUAGUCAGCCUCACCAAGUAGAACAAACAGAGCUUCAGCAAGAACAGCUUCAAACAG